rnacentral:rRNA from 1 species
UACGGGGGGAGCAAGCGUUGUUCGGAAUUACUGGGCGUAAAGGGUCUGUAGGUGGCCAACUAAGUCAGACGUGAAAUCCCUCAGCUUAACUGGGGAACUGCGUCUGAUACUGGAUGGCUCGAGUGUGGGAGAGGAAUGCGGAAUUCCAGGUGUAGCGGUGAAAUGCGCAGAUAUCAGGAGGAACACCGGUGGCGAAGGCGGAUCUCUGGGCCGUAACUGACGCUGAGGAGCGAAAGCAUGGGGAGCGAACAGG